rnacentral:snRNA from 1 species
GACGUCGGCGGGGGCCUCG